AUCCAGCUGACGUGUCCCAAAUAGAACGAAACGUACGCCAUUGAU
rnacentral:hammerhead_ribozyme from 1 species